rnacentral:lncRNA from 1 species
GACUGAAACUGAAGCUAAGAGAGGUUAAGUGACCUGCUCCUGGUAAAACUGUCCCAAGCGUUCCAGCUGGGCGUGGCUCCCAGACGUGUGUGACUUCAGUCACAGGAGGCCUGCAGGAAAAGAGAGCAGCUGGACCCCACUUCCGGUUAUACUUUGGC